AUGUUGAACAACGAUAACUUCUCUGGAGAUACCCUGAAACUCCCGAUGGAUUGUGUGCCUCAUCUGAUGUCUCUGCAUGGUCGCCUCUCAGUUUUGAACAUACUGCCAGGUAAAUCUACGGAGCUCACCUGUGCAUAUGGGAUUUCUAAAACCCGUGAACACAUGAUCAUCAGAGAAUGGAAGAAAUGUAUGGACAUUCGCAAGGAGGUUCUUGGAAGUAACAUUCAGCGAAAGGCAAGAAUUGGAGACAGGCUAAUCUCCAUUCUCCAUAAUGGAGAGUCAGGGGCUAUCUUGUUUUUUGUUAUUUUACCUUAG
rnacentral:rRNA from 1 species